GAUGAACGCUGGCGGCGUGCCUAAUACAUGCAAGUCGAGCGAACGGACGAGAAGCUUGCUUCUCUGAUGUUAGCGGCGGACGGGUGAGUAACACGUGGAUAACCUACCUAUAAGACUGGGAUAACUUCGGGAAACCGGAGCUAAUACCGGAUAAUAUUUUGAACCGCAUGGUUCAAAAGUGAAAGACGGUCUUGCUGUCACUUAUAGAUGGAUCCGCGCUGCAUUAGCUAGUUGGUAAGGUAACGGCUUACCAAGGCAACGAUGCAUAGCCUACCUGAGAGGGUGAGCGGCCACACUGGAACUGAGAAACGGUCCAGACUCCUACGGGAGGCAGCAGUAGGGAAUCUUCCGCAAUGGGAGAAAGCAUGACGGAGCAACGCCGCGGGAGUGAAGAAGGUUUUCGGAUCGUAAAACUCUUUUAUUAGGGAAGAAAAUAUGUGGAAGUAACUGUGCAAAUUUUGACGGUACCAAAACAAAAAGCCACGGAUAACUACGG
rnacentral:rRNA from 1 species